AUUAAUCUGUUUUCUCAACUGCCUCUUCCUCAUCCAUCUAAUUGCAGUCCCCCUCCCUGCCUUUUUAAUGACAUCAUUUUGGACACUUUUAGGACAUCAUACGUGAGAUUCAGCACAAUUUAUUUUCUAUUCAAAUUCCAUAUUACUAUGUGAGUUGCCGUCUUCCCACUCCAACGGAGUAAGAUCUCCAAAGGUGGGAGAGAAAGUCUCAAUUGAGUAUGCCUCAGGUGCAAUUUAGUAUUCCAAAUAAAGGAGGCUUUUGAGGUCUUGCCUCUCCUUACCUCCUGAGUUUUCUUUUUAGAAAGAAAACAGACUUUACAUUACUGCUUUUGAUGUUGUUCUGGGAACUGCGAUCUUGGAACAGGUAAAGAACCCGCCAUGUUGGGCCUGUUGGAAGAAGGAGGAGGAAGCCACCCUCCUACCGAGGUGCCCUUGAACCUGGUGAGAGAAAGUGGAGAGAUGGGGUCUCACUUUGUUGUCCGACUGGUCUUGAACUCCUGGCCUCGAGCGAUCCUCCCACCUCAGCCUCCUGAGCAGCUGGGACCAGAGCUGCUGUCACUCAAUUGGAAAAAGAAUGAUGAAUAAUUUUAAAUGAUUUUCCUACAGGAACUCAUUAUACAAUGACAAAUGGAGGCAGCAUUAACAGUUCUACACAUUUACUGGAUCUUUUGGAUGAACCAAUUCCAGGUGUUGGUACAUAUGAUGAUUUCCAUACUAUUGACUGGGUGCAAGAAAAAUGUAAAGACAGAGAAAGGCAUAGAUGGAUGGAGUCUCGCUGUCUCCAGGCUGGAGUGCAGAGGCGCAAUCUUGGCUCACUGCAACCUCUGCCUCCCGGGUUCAAGGGAUUUUCCUGCUUCAGCCUCCCAAGCAGCUGGGAUUACAGAAAAUUACUGACUUGUGGUGAAUUAAAACAGAAAAAGACAACAAUGUAAGAGACAAGGAAUCACUGCAGAAUUAAACCUUUAAAACCUUCACCAAAGUGGGAGAAGAGUAGCCAUGGCAAGCAUGCGUUUGAGCAAGGAUAUUAUAAGGAUCAACUAAUUGAAGUCCAAGGCUUGCAGAAAGUGGAUCUCUAAAGAAAAUAAAUUUAGACAAUACUUUCCGGAGACAGACAGGAAAUAAUGCUUUUACUCAUCCCACUGAAGAGCUAUGGCACUUCCAAUUCCUGAGCCUUUGUGAGGUUCUGCGUGUCAGUAAGCUUGCUUCCGGGCAUCACCUCCGAAAACACUUGGGUUUCAGUUUUCUCUGUGAGGCUUCUUAAGGAGUGGAGGAAAGUGGAUGUUUUCAAGAUAACGCAGCUAACAUUCAAAGAGGUUAAGUGAAUUGUCCAAAGUCACACAGCAAGCACUGGAGGUAAGAUUCAAACCUGAAUAGUCUAUCAUUUCAGAGUACUUUCAACACUAUGCAAUACUAUCUCUCUAGCAAUCAGCCAGAUUGAAUAAGAUCUGUAGUUCACAGAGCCACUUGCAUUUUUAAUCCUAGUUUAAUUAACUUAGGAAAUUUGUAUCUAAAGGAUGCAUCUUUUUUUUUUUUUUUUUCAAUAGAGGCAGUGUCUCACCAUGUUGCCCAGACUGGCCUCAAACUUCUGGGCUCAAACCAUCCUCCCAUCUCAGCCUUCCAAAUGCUGAGAUUACAGGCGUGAGCCACCACGUCCCACCGGGAUACAUAGGUUUUACGGUAUCCUCUGAACCUCCCUUUAAUCAAGAGAGUGGACAAAACUGUGGGUCCCUCAUUUUCAAAAUGGCCAGUAAAAGAGGAAAUAAGGAUAUGCAAUGUUUAGUUAUUUUCUGCUGCCCUCUUUAAGUUGAUUGGGGAUCUCUUUGUCACUACUUUGGGAAGAUAACUUACCUUCUUAUCCACUAUGGCUAAUUGGAGCUUUUCUCAUGUCUUUAUGGUUGCUGGGAAAUUUUCAAAUAAAAUUCACUGGGAAUGGUUUGAAAUUGC
rnacentral:lncRNA from 10 species